CAGGGUGAAGUGCAGUUUUGUAGUUUUGGAGGGUUAAAGUGAAAAUUGUCCAUCCUUAUCACUUAGCCCAGGCGGAUUGAUGCUCGGAGAAGUAGCUGCGGCUUGGUGAAGUUGGGCGCCCAGAUUGAAGGGGUGGAGAGAGCCUUGACUUAAAAAAAAGCUGUGAAGGAAGCUUUUGGAGCUAGGAAGAAAACUGUGGGAGGAGCCUCGAAUUGAGGAAAACUUAGGCAUGUUGCUAUGUUGAUGCCUUAAUUAAGGAAGUUUGGAGCUGCUAUGUUGGUGCCUUAAUUAAGUAUUGCUGAAGUUGCUGCUUUGAGGUAAAGUAAUUGCUCAACUUCUGAUUAUGGAUCAAUUACUUACUUUAUAAAGAGGCUAAUUUGAAGGAAUAUGGCUAUUGA